CAUUUGACAGAAUAUGUUACUAAAAUUGGAAUUAUGCAAAAAAAUAUUAGCAUUGCCACUGCACAAGGAUGACAUGCAAAUUCAUGAAGUAUUCCAUAUGUUU